GAUAUAGGGUUGAAAGAGAGUAAGUAAUGAAUGUUGAUGUUUGAUAUGCAGCAUGUGGUGCUAGUGGAGCAUUGUAUACACUGAUUAGCUGUUUACUUGGUUGUGGUUGUAUAUACUCAUGUGCUUACCGCACCAAGAUGAGACAACAAUACAAGUUGAAGGGGACUCCAUGUUUGGAUUUCUUGACUCAUUGCUGUUGUGAAGCAUGUGCAUUGUGCCAAGAAUAUCGUGAACUUCAAAACCGUGGAUUUGACAUGCUCAUUGGUACCAACCAAAUCCAUUCAUUUCUAUAGGAUGAGUUGUUUUGUUUGUGAUGAUGAACUAAUGUGUUUGAUUUGAAAAUGACACUUAGGGUGGGAAGGAAAUGUUGAGCGAGGGAAGGAGGGUGUAGCAAUGGUUCCAACUGCUCCUGCACUUCAACCUAUGACUCGUUGAGAAUCACGCACAAUGCAUAUAUGAUGCAUGCAUGUCUUAGUUAUGAUCCAACAAUGUAUUAUUUUCUGGUCUUGUUGUUGUUUUUUUCUAUGAAUAUGGUAUUACCUACAAUUUUUCUGUUCUAAAUGUCUCAAUCUUUUCAUUUUAUAUUUAUAAUAUUAAGAUAUUUUCGAUGUAAUAGUUUGAAUCAGUAAUUUAAUACGAGAUUUCCAAAGUAGUUAUUAAAUUGUGAUUGGCCACAUACGUGUGAGCGUGCUUUGUAAGAAAAACAGUAAAAAAAAAGUUAACCGUUGUUGAUUUGGAACACACAUUGAAGUUGUUCGCAAAAUAAGAAGCUUGAUAAAUAUAUAUUCCAUCUUCAGCCAUAUAGUAAUAAAGAGAUAAAGAAAUAAUAAAUGAAAAAAUGAAAAAAGAGAAAAAUUAGAAGAAAAUAGAAAGGAAUGUUCAUAAAGUGGACCCUGUUCUGUUCAAACUUGCCAAACUUGACUAACUUUCCAUUCUUUCUGAAUUUCUUUGUCUUUUCUUAAAGACUUUGUUUUCAUUUCAUCAUUAAUCUUUUCUCAAUUUAGUUCCCCAAACGUAACCUUUUACUCAGGCAAGCAAAGCAAGACCUUCAAAACUUAAAUUUCCUUCAUCUUUCUUGGAAACUGGUGUAAUUCCGUAAAGUAUUGUUCCUUUCACGGAAUCAUACCAUGCAGAUAUCAUUUUUACUGCUGAGAAGGUUGUUAUUAAUGAUGUUGAAAGUAGAAAAGAAGUUGCAAUGUUAUAGUUUAAGCAUUUAAUCAUAGUUGACGCUGAAAAGCUACUCCUGAUUACGGGUUUAGUUCACUCAGUCAUAUGCACAAACACUAUGACUACCACAUCCUUUAUCCAAAACGAAUUGCUCAACAAUUUCUGUAAGUUCAGAAAAGAGGAAGAAAGCAAUGAAUCUAAACUAGUCAAAGAAAAAAAAAAUGGAGAAAGCCCCAGUAACUCAAAAGGUAAUUUAGAAUUUCAUGUAACCACCCUAUGCCUAUUUGCCUGAGUUAGACAUAAAGGACAAUAAUGUUCCAUUUUAACAUAGGCAAUUAAUGUCAUGGUUCCACACCUUUAGAAGAAGAGAAGUGUCAUUGUUCCCCAAUAAAUGUCGAGAUAUAAUGGAAAAGAUGAUUAAAGAUUUUAUUAUUCAAUUUUUCAGUCAAAGUGUCACUCAUUUUAAUGACAUUUUCCUACGCUUCCAUAAUUUCUUCAUGCAGGCUUAUAUUCUUAAAAAUAUUAAAAUUAACCAUUUUAAAUUCUACCCUCUGAAGUACAUAUAUGGACCGAAACACAACUUUAAAUUUUUUAUUUUCAUUGAUUUAAAAAAAUAUUUUAUACCUACAAACUCUCAUGCAACAAACCAAUAAAAUGAAGUUGUGCAGACACAUUACCAUUUAUAAUUUAAAUCCUAUUUUCCAAGCUAUACCGAAAUAGUUAAUUUAUAAAUGGCCCUCACAACAACUUGGACUUUGCGAACCCUUUGAACGAUAAAUAAGAAUAAAGAAAGAGAAGAAGGUACCAAACACUUUUACUUUUUAUUUUAUUAAGAGCUUACCUCUUAGUGCUUUGCAUGUACCUAUUUAUACAUCUAAAUAAAUCAAUUUAACUCAUUCUAAAUGUUUAAAAUUGAAUAUUUUAAAUGUUAUAGAUCGAAUUUAAUCAAAUUCAUUAGAUCGAGAUUAUUAGGUUUUAGGGUUUAAAGCCAAAAUCAGCCUAAAACCAUUCACUAAAUAUUUUAAUAAAAAAAUAUGGAAUAAAAUUAAUUCUAAACAUGGUUUUCUUCCUUUCUUUUCUUAUUCUAAUUUUAUUAUCUGACCAUUCCUCUAUAUUAUUUCUUCUCUACUCUACAUUAGUUUUUUUAAUGUAAGUUUUUGUUUAAUUUGUUUAAAUAUUAGGCGAUGUUUCAUCGUGUAUUCACAAUUUUUAUUACGUUAUUUUAUUUCAAUAGUUAAAGUUUAAUAUUUCUAUUUUUUUUAUUUUAAAUAUAUUAAAUAUUAUAUGUAUAUUAUUUUUAUCACUUCGUUUAUUAUAUAUACCAAUAUAUAAUCUAUAUUAGUAUAUAAUUUAAUAUAUAAUAAGAUACCUCAUUUUGUAUAAAUUAAAAAAUAUUAUUAAAAAUAAAAUAUAAAAAUGAUUCAUUUAUAGCAAACGGCGAAAAUCUCUUUUAUACAUUCUUAUAGAUAAAGUUGAAUAUAGUUGCAUGAUCAAUUUUAUUUUAUUGUCGUGAUUUUUUUUUCUUAAAAAAGGUAAUACCAUAAGUAUUUAGGUGUGGUUUAACACACGAAUUUAUUUGAAAAUGGGAUAGUAUGUUUUCUUUAAGUUUGAAAUAUUAAUUCCAUUCUAUAUUUUUCCUUGAGCUCAAAAUAUUAUAUCCCAUUCAAAUUUGUUAAAUGACUUUAGAUUUUAUUCUUUCGUCUCUGUUUAGGGCUUAGAUAUAGAGUAUGAGUUUAAUAAUCAUGUAGUAAGAAAAUUUAUGCAGUCGUUUUUGUUUUUAUAUAUUUACCUCGUAUUUUUUUCUUUUCUUUUUUUUUUCUAUUUGAAUUGUGUAAUAUUUUAUUCAGAGUUUGUGUAGAAGCACAAUUUCUUAUGCCGAAAUAUUUAGUUUAAAAAGAGAAACGUGGUUUAAGUUAUAUGUAUGGGUGAAAUGAAUUGGUAAAAAAAUAUUGAACAUUGUCCCUCAAUUCUACUAUAAAUUGUUGCCUGCCACGGCCUCUCACUCACACAUUAAUCAUUUCCUAUCUUUCGGUAAGUUCUCUUUCGAGAAUUCUAGUUCUUAAUAAUGACAGUGAUUACUUAUACUUAAUCAAUUUUUUUUUAUUUCAAAGCUUCAGUUACUACACUCACCACCAUCAAAAUUGUAAGAGUUAUGUCUCUACCACCAACCUCACAAGGUGCACAACCACACCACAAUCAUCCCGCUGCCGCUGCUUCUCCGAUGCCGGAGACUGAAUGGUCCACCGGCCUCUUUGACUGCUUCUCCGACCUCAAAAACUGUAAGCUCCUCUUCUCACAACCAAGUAUUAAGUAGUGUUGGUAGUAUAUAAGUGGAUGCAAACCUCACCCCAUUAAGUCGGUUUUAUGGGGUUGAGUUAGGCUUAAAGUCCACUUCGUAAUAGUUGCACCGUUAUAACUCCUACAAACUCUUAAGCCAUUACUAUUUUUUCUUUUAGAUUAAUUACAUAUAUAUUGUCUCAUCUGUAUUUUGUUUCAGGUUUCAUAACGUGCUUGUGUCCAUGCAUCACGUUUGGUCAAAUUGCAGAGGUUGUCGACAAGGGAGCAACGUGUAAGAAACAGUUUCUUUCUGAGAAAAAGUAUUGUGUGGCAUAUAUGUUUGAUGAUGAUAACUUUCAAGUAUCUUUUCAUUUGAUUGGUGUCUUAAUUCUUUGAUUUCUAUGAGGUUGAGGUUGAUUAAGUAAUGCUAAUUAGGUUGUUGGAUAGGUUAUUGGUAAGUAAUGAAUGUUGAUGUUUGAUGUGCAGCAUGUGGUGCUAGUGGAGCACUGUAUUCACUGAUUUACUGUUUACUUGGCUGUGGUUGUAUAUACUCAUGUGUAUACCGCACCAAGAUGAGGCAACAAUACAAGUUGAAGGGGACUCCAUUUUUGGAUUUCUUGACUCAUUGUUGUUGUGAAACCUGUGCAUUGUGCCAAGAACAUCGUGAACUUCAAAACCGUGGAUUUGACAUGCUCAUUGGUACCAACCAAAUCCAUUCAUUUCUAUAGAAUGAGUUGCUUUGUUUGUGAUGAUGAACUAAUGUGUUUGAUUUGAAAAUGACACUUAGGGUGGGAAGGAAUUGUUGAGCGAGGGAAGGAGGCUGUAGCAAGGGUUCCAACUGCUCCAGCAGUUCAACCUAUGACUCGUUGAGAAUCACGCACAAUGCAUAU
rnacentral:lncRNA from 1 species